CCCUCUCCACGCCCUAUAUAGACGUCUUCGGUGCAGGAGUGGUGAUAACUGCAGCCCACACCAUCUACCGCGGUGAGACAAACAGCCAGCAUAGUACAAGUGAUCAGGUUAUUGGAGUUAUGGGCGCAGAUUUCCCCCUAUCAUACUUUCAAAAACUCCUAACAGAUACGUACCCAAAGUGUGAGGAGAGCAGCUAUGAUUGUUUUGUUUUGGACAGAGCUGGUUUCCUAAUCAUGCACAAUGAUUUCCUACAGCCAGAUAUAACAGCUAAAAC